rnacentral:rRNA from 1 species
GACGAACGCUGGCGGCGUGCCUAAUACAUGCAAGUAGAACGCUGAAGGAGGAGCUUGCUUCUCUGGAUGAGUUGCGAACGGGUGAGUAACGCGUAGGUAACCUGCCUGGUAGCGGGGGAUAACUAUUGGAAACGAUAGCUAAUACCGCAUAAUAGUAGGUGUUGCAUGACAUUUGCUUAAAAGGUGCAAUUGCAUCACUACCAGAUGGAUCUGCGUUGUAUUAGCUAGUUGGUGGGGUAACGGCUCACCAAGGCGACGAUACAUAGCCGACCUGAGAGGGUGAUCGGCCACACCGGGACUGAGACACGGCCCAGACUCCUACGGGAGGCAGCAGUAGGGAAUCUUCGGCAAUGGACGGAAGUCUGACCGAGCAACGCCGCGUGAGUGAAGAAGGUUUUCGGAUCGUAAAGCUCUGUUGUAAGAGAAGAACGAGUGUGAGAGUGGAAAGUUCACACUGUGACGGUAUCUUACCAGAAAGGGACGGCUAACUACGUGCCAGCAGCCGCGGUAAUACGUAGGUCCCGAGCGUUGUCCGGAUUUAUUGGGCGUAAAGCGAGCGCAGGCGGUUAGAUAAGUCUGAAGUUAAAGGCUGUGGCUUAACCAUAGUACGCUUUGGAAACUGUUUAACUUGAGUGCAAGAGGGGAGAGUGGAAUUCCAUGUGUAGCGGUGAAAUGCGUAGAUAUAUGGAGGAACACCGGUGGCGAAAGCGGCUCUCUGGCUUGUAACUGACGCUGAGGCUCGAAGGCGUGGGGAGCAAACAGG